rnacentral:rRNA from 1 species
CGCGAAACACCUUACCCAGAUUUGACAUGCAGCUGCACAGCGGUGAAAGCCGUCUCCUUCGAGGGUGCUGCACAGAUGCUGCAUGGCUGUCGUCAGCUCGUGUCGUGAGAUGUUGGGUUCAGUCCCGCAACGAGCGCAACCCCGCCCCUUGUUAUAUGUGUCUAGGGGGACAGCCGCCCGCGAGGGCGGAGGAAGGCGGGGAUGACGUCAAGUCCGCAUGGCUCUUACGUCUGGGGCGACACACACGCUACAAUGGUCAGCACAAUGCGUCGCUUGCCGGUAACGGUUGGCUAAUCGCGAAAGCUGGUCUCAGUGCAGAUCGGGGGCUGAACUCGCCCCGUGAAGGCGGAGUUGCUAG